rnacentral:rRNA from 1 species
AACGAACGCUGGCGGUGCGUCUUAAGCAUGCAAGUCGAACGGUAAGAAGAGAGCUUGCUCUUUUCCUAGAGUGGCGGACUGGUGAGUAACGCGUGGAUGAUCUACCUUUGAGAUGGGGAUAGCUUCUAGAAAUAGGAGGUAAUACCGAAUAACCUUAUUAUGUUAUGACGUAGUAAGAAAAGGAGCGUCAGCUCCGCUUAAAGAUGAGUCUGCGUCCCAUUAGCUAGUUGGUAAGGUAAAGGCCUACCAAGGCAACGAUGGGUACCCGGCCUGAGAGGGUGAACGGGCACAUUGGGACUGAGAUACGGCCCAAACUCCUACGGGAGGCAGCAGCUGAGAAUCUUCCGCAAUGGACGAAAGUCUGACGGAGCGACACCGCGUGAACGAUGAAGGCCGAAAGGUUGUAAAGUUCUUUUGCAGACAAAGAAUAAGGAUAGAAGGAAAUGACUAUCUGAUGACGGUAGUUAUGCGAAUAAGCCCCGGCUAAUUACGUGCCAGCAGCCGCGGUAAUACGUAAGGGGCGAGCGUUGUUCGGAAUUAUUGGGCGUAAAGGGCAUGUAGGCGGUUAGGUAAGCCUGAUGUGAAAUGUACGAGCUUAACUCGUAAACUGCAUUGGGUACUGCUUGACUUGAAUCAUGGAGGGGAAACUGGAAUUCCAAGUGUAGGGGUGGAAUCUGUAGAUAUUUGGAAGAACACCGGUGGCGAAGGCGGGUUUCUAGCCAAUGAUUGACGCUAAGGUGCGAAGGUGCGGGGAGCAAACAGGAUUAGAUACCCUGGUAGUCCGCACAGUAAACGAUGUACACUAGGUGUUGGGGUAAGACUCAGUGCCGGAGCAAACGCAAUAAGUGUACCGCCUGGGGCAGUAUGCUCGCAAGAUGAAACUCAAGGAAUUGACGGGGGCCCACACAAGCGGUGGAGCAUGUGGUUUAAUUCGAUGAUAC